rnacentral:misc_RNA from 1 species
UUAGCUGUCGUUGAGUCUCCAUCUAUAAAWGGAUAAUAUUUUGGUGUUAAAGUAUACUAGUUUUUGAAAGUAAAAGAGCAAUAUCAGCAGAGUUGAUAUUGCUCUUUUACUUUUCAUAGUCUUUUUUUAUACAUUUUUAUACAUAAAUUGKGGAUUUAUUAUAAUUAUAAUUAUAAUUUUAUUAGAAUUAUAAUAUUUAUAAUUAUAAUAUUUUUUAGCCUUUUUUAUUUCAAGAUAAGAGAUAAAAAAAUGAAUYUUCCCCCGCCCCCCUUUUUUUUUUCUUAGAAGACGAGUAAAGACUUAGAAAAAAAAAGAAUGCGAACGAAACAAUACAAAUGAAGUUYCCGUAAUUUUUACAURAAAAUAGGGGCG